UGGGUGUGUGUGUGUGUGUGUGGAUUCAGUGAUAGGUUGUAAGUUCCAGUGAUGAAUAUUCAGUAUUGUUGAGUAAGCCAUUCAUGGUAUGUGGGUGUGCCAAAGAAAGUGCUUUGUUACCCAUGUGUGCCAUAGUUAGCAGUAUGAGUGAUUAGUAGAGUAUGAACAUUUGUCAAAUGCCUUCCAAAAAUUCCUUGCAUGGGAGCGGCUUGGGGUUUUGCCUAUGCUAAGCUGCUGCAGGCACUUGCUCGCCAGACACACGAGAGAGAGGACCUAUUUUGUCCUUCAACUAGAAUCACACAGCUAGUCUGAUUUUAUUGCCAGCUUUAGCCUGAGCAGCCAACAAUCACAGUUCAAUACUGACAGUCUGUGGUCUGCAUAAAAAGCUGACAUUGUAUGCAACUCCGAGAGAGUUUUGAAGAUGCUAACUAUGGCACAAAGAAUGGGGAGAUAUUUCUACCGAGUAGAGUGAGCUUCGCACUACCCUGAGGAACUGAAGCUCUUGUCCAGGACCCCUACCUCUACCGGACCCCUUGGACCGGAAUCUGAGUGAUGCUGCAUAGACAGUUGGCAGGCUGACAAGGACCUGGCGGCAGUCACCUUAAUGAUUGUAUAAAAUAACUGGCGAAAUACCAUAAACUUGAUUUGGAUUUUGAAUGUGAGAGUGUAAAUAUUUUUAAAUCAACAAGAUUGAAAGAAGGAUUAAUAAUUAUUCAAUUUUCCCGAAGAUAAUAUUUGAUGUGGUAUUGGCAAUCUAAAUGAAUUGAGAUUAAUACAGAAAGAAAAGAAGGUUGACCUAAAAUUGAAGAAGUGUUUGAACUAAAAUUGAAGAAGUGUUUGAACCAAAAUUGAAGAAGUGUUUGAACCAAAAUUGAAGAAGUGUUUGAACUAAAAUUGAAGAAGUGUUUGAACCAAAAUUGAAGAAGUGUUUGAACCAAAAUUAAAGAAGUGUUUGAACCGAAAUUGAAGAAGUGUUUGAACAAAAAUUAAUGAAUUGUUAUUGAAAGAGUAAAUUGCGAUAGAAACAGAAAGGUUUCAACUUAAACAGAAAAGAAAAUUGAUAAACUUGAAGUGAAUUACGAUUUGUGAAUUUUGAGGUCAAAUUGAAGAUACCGUGAUUAAUAAGUGAAUCUAAGAAACGAAUUGAGAAUUUUUGAGAUUGCACAAAGAUUUUGUGAUUGAAGUUUAAGAAGUGAAAGUUUAAAACUUCACGGGUUAAUUGGUGAUUUGAAGUUGUGAAUUGUUACAAGUUGAGAAAACAAGGAUUGUUUGAGUUAAAGAUUCACGAGAUUUGAAGGAAAGUGCAGAAAUUGAAAAUUGGAGAAUAAUUAAGAGGUGAAGAUUUGAGAAUUGAAAAUUUGAAGAAUUGAUAGAUUUAAUAGAAUUGAGUGAUAAAUUUGACUUAAGUGAUCAACCUAGAUUGGACUAUGCCAUUUUGUGGAAUUGAAUAAUUGAAUUACGGGUACAACUCAUCUAAAUAUCGUGAGCUAUUUUACUGAUUAGAUUUCUGAAUGCAUUGAUUACUGAAUUUUAGAAUCUCAAAUAAUUUUAGUGCAGCUCAUGUAAAAUCCUCUUUUUAUUGUGACGUCCAUUUUAUAACUUUGAAAUUGUAAAUUUGGAGACGAAUACUUGAGAUUUUAAAACUUGUCUGGGCCCAAAUUUCCGUUCGAUCAGUUGAGUGUAAUUUCAUAUCAGUUUUGGGAAUUGUUAAAUUUUGAUAGUGAAUAAGAGACAGUUUAAGUGAAUACGUUUGAGAACCCAA
rnacentral:lncRNA from 1 species